rnacentral:rRNA from 1 species
CCUACGGGUGGCAGCAGUGGGGAAUAUUGGACAAUGGCGGGAACCCUGAUCCAGCGACGCCGCGUGAGUGAAGAAGUAUUUCGGUAUGUAAAGCUCUAUCUGCAGGGGAGAAAGAAAUGCCGGUACCUGACUCAGACGCCUCGGCUAACUACGUGCCAGCAGCCGCGGUACUCCGUCGGCGGCAAGCGUUAUCCGGAUUUACUGGGUGUAAAGGGAGCGUAGACGGCGAUGCAAGUCUGAAGUGAAAGGCGGUGGCCCAACCCCCGGACUGCUUUGGAAACUGGAUGGCUGGAGUGCAGGAGAGGUAAGUGGAAUGCCUAGUGUAGCGGUGAAAUGCGUAGAUAUUAGGAGGAACACCAGUGGCGAAGGCGGCUUACUGGACUGUAACUGACGUUGAGGCUCGAAAGCGUGGGGAGCAAACAGGAUUAGAUACCCUUGUAGUC